UCUUCCUAAACCUAACGCUGAAACGGAAUCAGACAGGGAGAGAGGGAGGAAAUCAGAGUGUGAUCUAAGCAGCCACCGUUCAGUCACCAGAGCCACCGCUGGGGUCCUUCGCCGUCACUAUCGUCGCCAUCCACGCGAGAUGCAGCGCUGCGAAGUCCAGCCAUCGUGACCUUCGUGGAGCCCGCGUCGCUGUCGCCUCGGCUGUUCCCAAUGCCGCUGGGUCUGUCGCGCGUCGUUGUCUGAGGAGCCACUGCCGCCGUUGCUCGUUGUCUCCCUUAGGGCUGUCACCGUCGCUAGAGCCAGCCGCCUUCGUCGCCGUUCAUCCUUGUCGUCGUCUUCGCCGCUCUGUGGAGGCCGUAGAGAGGAACGCGAACCAGGAGCCAUAGCGCCGCCGCCGCCGAUCUGUCACCGUGCUGCUGCGUCGCCGUUGAUGAAGUUUUUGCCACCGCCGUGAACUGCGAACAGAGGAGAACGAGAGAGGAGGCGAUGAAUGAAGCCGUCACUGAAGUUGUGGCCGUCGUUGCCAGAGGCAUGGAGGAAGGGAGGUAGAACCGCGAGAUAGAAAAGCCACUGUGACUGUCGUUGCUGCCAUGAGUGUGGUCCACCGUCGAGCUGCACACUGCCAUUGGCGUCAGAAACCACCUUUAGAACCACUACUGCUUUGGUGAGCUCUGUCUCCUGUUUUUGCUUCUUUGUCCUACCAAUUUGUUCCUACUUUGAAGCUUGUCCCUGAAACUGUUUGUAUUGUAUAAAGAGAUUAUCGUAAAUUACAUCACCGCCGCCGUUACUAGAGGUAGCUGCCAGCUCUAUUUGGAGACAGCCGCUAAGUCACCACCGAAGCUAAGAACAGGUGCUGGGAUUCGAUGGAGCACCGCUGCUGCUGUGAAUUUGUAAUAUUUGGUUUACCGCGUCUAAAUUCUUCAAUUAUGGCUAAUUGAGGUAGGGGAUUUAACGUUUUUAAUUUAGAAUGCCUACAAAGUUAUUUGGAUAAGUGCAAAUGGUUAACAAUGGUUAAGAAUUUCUUAAUUGACAUGAAUGACUUGAAAUGCUUUUGAAAUUAGUUAGUUAGUUGUGAUUAUUCUGAGCUGUGAGUGGAAUUAGAUGCCGUUGUGAACAAUUAAUUUGAAAAGGUUAACUUUGGUUAAUGCUAUGACUGAUUUUAAUGGAUUUGUUGACAAUUCUGAUUUUAUGUGAUAUUGCUGAAUUGGUUGAAAUGUGGCUGUGAAUGGUGAUUCAUUUGAUAAUACUUGUUAAAUUGAAAUUUGAUGAGUUAACUAUUGAAAAGUUGUCGUAAUGAUAAUUGAUAAACUGAGUUAGAUUUGUGUUUGGUUUGGGAUUAUUGUGAUGAUGGUUGAGGUUGUGAAAUUUGGAGUAAGUUUGAUGAUGUUUUAGUGCUUCAAUUGGAUUAUUGAACUCAGGUUAUGGCUGUGAACGUCUUUGGGCUUUGUUGUGAGUGUUUGAAGCUGUAAUUGAUAUUGUUUUCUCUGAUAUUGAUGGAAUUGUUGAAAGCUGUGAGUGGAAUUAGAUGCUGUUGUGAACAAUUAAUUUGACAAGGUUAACUUUGGUUAAUGCUAUGACUGAUUUUAAUGGAUUUGUUGACAAUUCUGAUUUUAUGUGAUAUUGCUGAAUUGGUUGAAAUGUGG
rnacentral:lncRNA from 1 species